rnacentral:rRNA from 1 species
GACAGAGGGUGCAAACGUUGUUCGGAAUUACUGGGCGUAAAGCGCGUGUAGGCGGCUAAGUAAGUCGGGCGUGAAAUCCCACGGCUCAACCGUGGAAGUGCACUCGAAACUGCGUAGCUAGAGUCCUGGAGAGGAAGGUGGAAUGCUUGGUGUAGAGGUGAAAUUCGUAGAUAUCAAGCGGAACACCGGUGGCGAAGGCGGCCUUACUGGACAGUGACUGACGCUGAGACGGCGAAAGCGUGGGGAGCGAACAGG